GGGUCUGUAGCAUUGAGUUUACGCUUCCGCUUCAUAAGCGGAAGGUCAUGGGUUCGAUUCCCAGCCCCU
rfam:Aedes aegypti strain Liverpool supercont1.41 genomic scaffold, whole genome shotgun sequence.